CUCUGCAGGAGACCCUCCAACACUAGCAGGUAGGUCUGGUUCAGUCUCCCCCAGGGUCACUGCUCCUUCCCCUGGGUCCCGAUGCGCACACUACUUUGUGUGAGCCCUCCACGAGUGGAGUCUCUUGUUUCCCCCAGUCCUGUUGAAGUCCUGCAAUCAAAUUCCGCGAACCUUCGAAGUCUGAUUCUCUGAGAAAUCCUCCUCCUGGCGCUGGACCCCCAGGUUGGGAAGCCUGACGUGGGGCUCAGAACCUUCACUCCAGUGGGUGGACUUCUGUGGUCUAAGUGUUCUCCAGUUGUUUGACAGGCUAGUGGACGCCGCUUCCCGUUCGGGUGGAGCAGACAAAGGCAAACAGGGACAGCAGCGCCCCGGGCGAACACCCGUGCUGUUUCCAGCGGAGUCAAGCUGCAUGUCAGGAGGCUCUGUUUUCAGUGGUUUUUUUGAAACUCAUGGACCUACUGAAAACCCUCACCUGUCCAAGCGCACAGAGAACUGACUGCGGGCUCAGCGACCAGCACCGUCUACAGACCUGCUGUGCACCCCUUCUGAGCUAUUACGUCAUCAACUCAAAGCCUGGCCCUGUCUUCCAGUUAAACAUCCACGAAGUCGCUAAGGAGGCUUUCUGAUAACCCUCCCCUUUUUCCCCAAUGCAGCCCCAGUGGAGAGGCCGGGAUGGGGUGAGAGCGGGCAAGCGGGACGUGGGGCAGGAGCCCUGGGGGUUCCCGAGAUGUGGAGUGUGGGGGGAUGGCACCUGAAACGUCCCCCUUUUCUUGCUGCUGAACAGUGACCUGAGCAUAAGGCCCCUGGACGUACAGACGCAGCUCAGCCCUGAGGGGCAGCCAGCUCCGGGUGGAGGUCUCACCUCCUCCCGUCUCGGUCCUCGUUCAGACACGGCCUUCGUGUCAACACCCACAGAGCAAAGUGGGUGCAUGGGAACACUCCCUUACACGGUUUUCAAUGACACAUGUUGUUGGGAUGGAGCAAAACUCAGUGGUUAUGAAAAGCCAUUAACACACGCACCCCACACAACACAUCUGUUAGUUCGGUCAAGUCCCCUCCGCCUGAAGGAAGAC